rnacentral:rRNA from 1 species
GAUGAACGCUGGCGGCGUGCCUAAUACAUGCAAGUCGAGCGAACAGACGAGGAGCUUGCUCCUCUGACGUUAGCGGCGGACGGGUGAGUAACACGUGGAUAACCUACCUAUAAGACUGGGAUAACUUCGGGAAACCGGAGCUAAUACCGGAUAAUAUAUUGAACCGCAUGGUUCAAUAGUGAAAGACGGUUUUGCUGUCACUUAUAGAUGGAUCCGCGCCGCAUUAGCUAGUUGGUAAGGUAACGGCUUACCAAGGCAACGAUGCGUAGCCGACCUGAGAGGGUGAUGGGCCAGACUGGAACUGAGACACGGUACAGGCGCAUACGGGAGGCAGCAGUAGGGAAUCUUCGGCAAUGGGCGAAAGCCUGAAGGAGCAACGCAGCGGGAGUGAUGAAGGUCUUCGGAUCGUAAAACUCUGUUAUUAGGGAAGAACAAAUGUGUAAGUAACUAUGCAAGUCUUGACGGUACCUAAUCAGAAAGCAACGGCUAACUACGUG